rnacentral:rRNA from 1 species
CCUACGGGUGGCAGCAGUAGGGAAUCUUCCACAAUGGGCGAAAGCCUGAUGGAGCAACGCCGCGUGGGUGAAGAAGGUCUUCGGAUCGUAAAACCCUGUUGUUAGAGAAGAAAGGGCGUGAGAGUAACUGUUCACGUUUCGACGGUAUCCAACCAGAAAGCCACGGCUAACUACGUGCCAGCAGCCGCGGUAAUACGUAGGUGGCAAGCGUUAGCCGGAGUUAUUGGGCGUAAAGGGAACGCAGGCGGUCCUUUAAGUCUGAUGUGAAAGGCUUGGGCUUAACCGGAGUAGUGCAUUGGAACCUGGUAGACUUGAGGGCAGAAGAGGAGAGUGGAACUCCAUGUGUAGCGGU